rnacentral:rRNA from 1 species
GAAACGACUGCUAAUACCGCAUAAGCCCACGGCUCGGCAUCGAGCAGAGGGAAAAGGAGUGAUCCGCUUUGAGAUGGCCUCGCGUCCGAUUAGCUAGUUGGUGAGGUAACGGCCCACCAAGGCGACGAUCGGUAGCCGGACUGAGAGGUUGAACGGCCACAUUGGGACUGAGACACGGCCCAGACUCCUACGGGAGGCAGCAGUGGGGAAUAUUGCACAAUGGGGGAAACCCUGAUGCAGCGACGCCGCGUGGAGGAAGAAGGUCUUCGGAUUGUAAACUCCUGUUGUUGAGGAAGAUAAUGACGGUACUCAACAAGGAAGUGACGGCUAACUACGUGCCAGCAGCCGCGGUAAAACGUAGGUCACAAGCGUUGUCCGGAAUUACUGGGUGUAAAGGGAGCGCAGGCGGGAGAACAAGUUGGAAGUGAAAUCCAUGGGCUCAACCCAUGAACUGCUUUCAAAACUGUUUUUCUUGAGUAGUGCAGAGGUAGGCGGAAUUCCCGGUGUAGCGGUGGAAUGCGUAGAUAUCGGGAGGAACACCAGUGGCGAAGGCGGCCUACUGGGCACCAACUGACGCUGAGGCUCGAAAGUGUGGGUAGCAAACAGGAUUAGAUACCCUGGUAGUCCACACCGUAAACGAUGAUUACUAGGUGUUGGAGGAUUGACCCCUUCAGUG